rnacentral:rRNA from 1 species
CGCGAAUUCGCCCUUCGGGGUGCACCAGGCGCGAAAACUUUACAAUGCGGGAAACCGUGAUAAGGGAACUCCGAGUGCCCGUUAAAUCGGGCUGUCCACCAGUUUAAAUAACUGGUGAAGAAAGGGCCGGGCAAGACCGGUGCCAGCCGCCGCGGCAAUACCGGCGGCUCGAGUGGUGGCCACUAUUACUGGGCUUAAAGCGUUCGUAGCUGGUCUGUUAAGUCUCUGGGGAAAUCUACCGGCUUAACCGGUAGGCGUCUCAGGGAUACUGGUAGACUAGGGACCGGGAGAGGUGAGGGGUACUCCAGGGGUAGGAGUGAAAUCCUGUAAUCCUUGGGGGACCACCUGUGGCGAAGGCGCCUCACCAGAACGGCUCCGACAGUGAGGGACGAAAGCUGGGGGAGCAAACCGGAUUAGAUACCCGGGUAGUCCCAGCUGUAAACGAUGCACGUUAGGUGUAUCGGUGACCACGAGUCACCGAGGUGCCGAAGAGAAAUCGUGAAACGUGCCGCCUGGGAAGUACGGUCGCAAGGCUGAAACUUAAAGGAAUUGGCGGGGGAGCAC